GUCCAGCCGCCGCGGUAAUACCGGCAGCCCAAGUGAUGGCCGAUCUUAUUGGGCCUAAAGCGUCCGUAGCUGGCUGCGCAAGUCCGUCGGGAAAUCCGCCCGCUCAACGGGCGGCCGUCCGGCGGAACCUGUGUGGCUUGGGACCGGGAGGCCUGAGGGGUACGAUCGGGGUAGGAGUGAAAUCCUGUAAUCCCGCUCGGACCGCCGAUGGGGAAACCACCUCAGGAGAACGGAUCCGACAGUGAGGGACGAAAGCCAGGGUCUCGAACCGGAUUAGAUACCCCAGUAUCC
rnacentral:rRNA from 1 species